rnacentral:rRNA from 1 species
UACAGAGGGGGCAAGCGUUGUUCGGAAUUACUGGGCGUAAAGGGCGCGUAGGCGGCCUUCUAAGUCGAACGUGAAAUCCCCGGGCUCAACCCGGGAACUGCGUCCGAUACUGGAAGGCUUGAAUCCGGGAGAGGGAUGCGGAAUUCCUGGUGUAGCGGUGGAAUGCGCAGAUAUCUGGGGGAACACCGGUGGCGAAGGCGGCAUCCUGGACCGAUACUGACGCUGAGGAGCGAAAGCCAGGGGAGCAAACGGG